rnacentral:lncRNA from 1 species
GAAGAGGAGGUAGAUGAGGGACAGAAAUCUAGAGAAGCCGAGGCACCAAUCCUGAAACAGUUUGAGGAUGAAGACGGGGAGGAGAUGACCAGAGCAAAACCAGAAAAGGUAGUGGAUGAGAAACCCCCAAUCAUAAGAUCCCAGGAAAAGGAUGAGUUAGAGAAAGGAGGGCGAGUUACAAGAUCCCAGGAAGAAGCUAGAAGAAGUCAUCUGGCCAGACAACAACAAGAGAAAGAGACACAAAUUGUUUCUCUCCCUCAAGAAGAAAAUGAGGUAAAAUCUUCACAAGGUUUGGAAGAAAAAUCCCAGUCUCCUUCCCUGCCUCCCCUCCCUGAAGACCUAGAGAAGGCCCCUGUCGUGCUGCAGCCAGAGCAAAUAGUCAGUGAAGAGGAAACACCCCCACCUUUACUUACCAAGGAAGCUUCAUCUCCACCAACUCAUAUGCAGCUCCAGGAUGAAGAAGAAGUGGAGCCAGCGGAAGGCCCAGCACCCCCUGUCCUCAUUCAGUUAUCUCCUCCUGGUACAGAUGCUGGAACCAGGGAGCCCAUAGUGUCUCCCCACACAGUGCA